UACGAAGGGGGCUAGCGUUGUUCGGAGUUACUGGGCGUAAAGGGCGCGUAGGCGGCGCACCAAGUCAGGCGUGAAAGUCCUGGGCUCAACCUGGGAACUGCGCUUGAUACGGCAGAGCUAGAGGAUGGAAGAGGCUCGCGGAAUUCCCAGUGUAGAGGUGAAAUUCGUAGAUAUUGGGAAGAACACCGGUGGCGAAGGCGGCGAGCUGGUCCAUUACUGACGCUGAGGCGCGACAGCGUGGGGGAGCAAACAGG
rnacentral:rRNA from 1 species